AGAGUUUGAUCCUGGCUUAGGAUGAACGCUAGCUACAGGCUUAACACAUGCAAGUCGAGGGGCAGCAUUGAGAUAGCUUGCUAUUCAGAUGGCGACCGGCGCACGGGUGAGUAACGCGUAUCCAACCUUCCCCUUAGUAGGGGAUAGCCCGGUGAAAAUCGGAUUAAUACCCUAUGUUGUUCGAAGCAGACAUCUAAAUUGAACCAAAGGUUUACCGCUAAGGGAUGGGGAUGCGUCUGAUUAGGUAGUAGGCGGGGUAACGGCCCACCUAGCCGACGAUCAGUAGGGGUUCUGAGAGGAAGGUCCCCCACAUUGGAACUGAGACACGGUCCAAACUCCUACGGGAGGCAGCAGUGAGGAAUAUUGGUCAAUGGGCGCGAGCCUGAACCAGCCAAGUAGCGUGCAAGGACGACGGCCCUAUGGGUUGUAAACUGCUUUUAUACAGGGAUAAAGUCACCUACGUGUAGGUGUUUGCAGGUACCCUAUGAAUAAGCAUCGGCUAACUCCGUGCCAGCAGCCGC
rnacentral:rRNA from 1 species